rnacentral:rRNA from 1 species
GAUGAACGCUGGCGGCGUGCCUAAUACAUGCAAGUCGAGCGAAUGGAUUAAGAGCUUGCUCUUAUGAAGUUAGCGGCGGACGGGUGAGUAACACGUGGGUAACCUGCCCAUAAGACUGGGAUAACUCCGGGAAACCGGGGCUAAUACCGGAUAACAUUUUGAACCGCAUGGUUCGAAAUUGAAAGGCGGCUUCGGCUGUCACUUAUGGAUGGACCCGCGUCGCAUUAGCUAGUUGGUGAGGUAACGGCGCACCAAGGCAACGAUGCGUAGCCGACCUGAGAGGGUGAUCGGCCACACUGGGACUGAAACACGGACCAGACUCCUCCGGGAGGCAGCAGUAGGGAAUCUUCCGCAAUGGACGAAAGUCUGACGGAGCAACGCCGCGUGAGUGAUGAAGGCUUUCGGGUCGUAAAACUCUGUUGUUAGGGAAGAACAAGUGCUAGUUGAAUAAGCUGGCACCUUGACGGUACCUAACCAGAAAGCCACGGCUAACUACGUGCCAGCCGCCGCUGUAA